rnacentral:rRNA from 1 species
UACGUAGGGUGCAAGCGUUGUCCGGAAUUAUUGGGCGUAAAGAGCUCGUAGGCGGUUUGUCGCAUCUGGUGUGAAAAUCCAGGGCUUAACCCUGGACCUGCAUCGGGUACGGGCAGACUAGAGUGCGGUAGGGGAGAUCGGAAUUCCUGGUGUAGCGGUGAAAUGCGCAGAUAUCAGGAGGAACACCGGUGGCGAAGGCGGAUCUCUGGGCCGUAACUGACGCUGAGGAGCGAAAGCAUGGGGAGCGAACAGG